rnacentral:rRNA from 1 species
UACGUAGGGGGCGAGCGUUGUCCGGAAUCAUUGGGCGUAAAGCGCGCGUAGGCGGCCCGGUAAGUCCGUUGUAAAAGUCAAAGGCUCAACCUUUGAAAGCCGAUGGAUACUGCCGGGCUAGAAUCCGGAAGAGGCGAGUGGAAUUCCUGGUGUAGCGGUGGAAUGCGCAGAUAUCAGGAGGAACACCAAUAGCGAAGGCAGCUCGCUGGGACGGUAUUGACGCUAAGGCGCGAAAGCGUGGGGAGCAAACAGG